CACUUUCAGUGGGGAAGAAACAAUUCAAGGUGAAUAUCCUUGAGUCUUGACAUUACCCACAGAAGAAGCACCGGCAAACUCUGUGC
rnacentral:rRNA from 1 species